GGUAGGACCUCGCUUCUCCGUGCGGAGGGAAGGUCUGGGGGGCUGGAGCGUUUGCUGCGGAGAGAAGAGGUUCUGUGGAAUAAACCGGCUUCCAACCUACACCCCUCAGAAGAAUUGUUAUUCUCAGCUCUGUCCAGGCCUCUGAGCUCCUUGCUGCCAAGGACAGGUAAGUUUUACCCCGGAGCAAAAUAGUAUCUCCAGCAGUUAAAGGUG
rnacentral:lncRNA from 1 species